UUGAGAAAAAGAAUUCAUUUCCUUUGAAUUUCUUCAAAAUUUAGCAUUCCAAACAAGGGUUAAAAGCAAUAGCUGAAGGAAAACAUACAAAAGUCUAAUAAGAAAAAGGAAGACCAAUUGAAGCUCACAUACCGUAGACACCACCUAAGAAAAAUCUAGUAGAGCAUAGGAACCUUCAUAGCCCAUUAGUGAAGCACUACAUCCCAAGAAGAUGUCCAAGCUAAAUGAAAGAACACUAGUAGAGCUCAUCGGCGACUAAUUUCAUGCCUUAAGGGUUAUCAGCACACAAACUUUAAGCACUUGAGAUGCCUAAUGUCAAGCCAAAUAGAAGAAGUCUCUAAAGAGCGAAAAACCAGAUCUAAGCCUAUUGAAUCUCAAGGGACGAUCUCAACUACAGCCAUAGCUUCCGAUGGAAGCCAAUAAAAAAUAUAGAUCCAAAACUUGAAACGGAAACCCAUUACUUUUAGAGAGAAAAUGAAAAAAUCAAGAGAAAACGAG
rnacentral:lncRNA from 1 species